GAUUUGGAGAAAAGGAUAUCCUCCAACACGAAGAUCAAGCCGUCUUCUGAGGGGUUCAACUUUGGGAUGAUCGCCCUUGCUGUUAAUUAUCGCGCUCGAGAACUUGCCUCAGCACUCUGUCGUGAAAUCCCUCCAUUUUCCUUGAUGAUUGAAAUGAUUGGGUUACAUGGAUGACACCCUGGUCCCCUCUUACUGGUAUAUGGAUGUUGCUUUCGCACUGAGCCGUUCUCAUCCAUUGUUCGUUUUGAUAUAGCAUUAUCCUGCUUCUCCCAUCUCUUUUUUGUCCGUGCUGGUACACCUCAUCCCAUAAUUGUCCAUCUAUAUGUUUCUCUCUUUCUUCCCUUUCAAUAUCUCUUUCUCUGCAAGAUCUUUUGUGACUUCUCCAUAUUCUAUUCCCAAUUCGUAUUCUCGUACCUUCCCUUUCAAGUCAUGAUUUUCUAUCAUUAGUCGUCCAUGUUCUUUCGCAAGAUCUAUCCGUUCUUCGAUCAACAUCUUUUCUGUUUUCCUCCACUGCGCGAGUUUCUCCUCGUAUUCUCGUUUUGUAACAGUUGCUUCUUCGUCCUGGUUCUCAUAGUUGGGUUGUUUUCUUUCCCUUCAUCAGCUAGCCUUGGCCUUCUCUGGGAAAGAUUCAGUCAAUGCUACUGACAGAGAAGUCGUUUGAGAAGAUUUCUCCUUGAGAACUUUCGAAAUUUUGGAAGUAAAGAGUUUUUUGAGGAAUUUUUUUCGAUAGAGAUAAGGAAAUGGUAUACUGUUUAUCAAACUUCAUGGUGGACAGAAAAAUGAGAAUAACAAGUGAAUUUUGAAAAAUGAUGAUUUCUGGUUACUAACCAGCAGGUGAGGAUGAAUCCUCCCUGUUUCUAGUGCCAAAAUGUAGUUGCGAAAAAUCCCACAACUGCACUCUUUAUAAUGAUGAUAACACAAAGCUUAAGUCAUAUGGAUCAACUCAAACAUAAAUGAUAUUAUUCACCACUUUGGCACUAAUAUGAUCUUUUCAAAUACUUUGUAUUAGAUGUAUGAUGCUCUUACAAUGAUUUCAAGAUGAGUUUGUGUACAACAAUGGAGAAAUACAAGAUAAAAGCUAAGUUCUAAUGGCUUGCUUCUUUUUUCUCUUGAUAACUUUCUUAGCUUAUAUAUCUCAACUGAUCUCUCCCUCUCUAUAUCAUUUUUGAGCCUUUAUAUAGGCAAAUAAAUCAAUAGAAGACACCAUAGUUCACGUGCAAGAUCUCAGUUGACAAAUUUUGUUUCAGUUUGUCUUAUAUGCCAGGCUUUUGGAAACUGUCCAUGUUUAUCGCGUUUCUAUUCGGUCCUUCGUGUUUCUUUUGAUAGAGUUGUUGAUCGCACUAUUCUCAUCGCGUGACUAUUCUUCAUGCCUUUCCUUUAUUAGCGCAUGAUUAUUCUUCGCCUUAUUUCCAGGUAAUUGUUGUAUCUUCGUGUUUAAGAUUGUUUUGACUGGAGCAAAGUUGUAUGUUUUCCUUGUGCGAUAUUUCGCCCUUACACUUUUAGCUAAAAAACGAGAGUUCAACCACUUCAUUCCGACUUCGUAUGAUGAUUCUGUAAUCGUUCCCGUGAGAAGACAUAAAUCUGAAUUUUCAGACGACGACAAAGCUAUUGGAAUCUUGCGCACAAUUAUGUGGAGCUAUGUGUUCAGUGCUUUAAGGUGAUAAACAGUCCAUUAUGGCUUUAAGGAACAUACUUGGGUUGGUGACAAGUUGGCCAAAGCAAGAGGAUGCUUCGUGAUAUGAUUCGCCAUCAAAUUCUUCAUGCUCGUCUUCGAAUUCGCCAAUUACUUCUGUAUGAGACGAUUUUUCAGGUUCCUCAUUGCUUUUGUCCUUCUCUUCGGCACUUCCAGCAGCAAUAAC